UCCACAAUUUCAAAUAUGAUUUCUUUUGUUCGUUUUUUACUAAGUACAAAUGAACAAUUUUGCUCUUUCAUGUGCCACAGAUGUACCCGGAGGUGAAGGGGAAAUUUGCGGCAGCCAAAAAAUAUUUAAUAAGGUAAAAAAAGUCUGAGAGGUUGUCAAUAGCAUGUGGUUGUAUGUAUAGUUCUCUGAAUGAACGACUAAAGAAUAUUUUGUUUGCUGCUAUUGCUCCCAGUUAUUACUGAUUUGGUCUGGAAUGAAGAGAACAACGGGGAAGGAGUAAUUGGUAUAUUGGGGUUUCAGAGUGUAUUGCUAAAGCUAUUCUGGUGGGGAAACUGACCGGAAUUAGUGAAAAGUUUUGUCAGGUAAUAUUCAUUUUUCUACUUUCUAGAUUAUAUUUCACCAAUAUGUUCCCCUGCUUUAUUUGGACAUCCAAACAUUCUGCAAAGUCUAAUGUAAUACAGUGCACCAUACCCAACCUCCAUGCCAGCCUUAUUAUUUGCAUCUAUGUAAUGAAUAAGUUGCAGUAUUUAUUUAUCUCAAGGGAAAAUGGCAUUGCAAAGAUUUUUGCUACCUUCUCUCUUGAUCUCAGAAGUACCAUGUAGUAUUGGGCAGCUUCAAAGCUACAAAGUUUUAGUAUAUUUGUGCCACAGAAUAUCGAAAGCCAUACAGUUUUGGUCUGUGUAGUCUCAUAAAGAGAUCCAUUUACGUGUUCAAUGCCUAACACAUUCCGUCUUGUUUGAAUGUUUGUACUAUUCUUAUAACCCAAUGAAAGUUGCAUUUUUCCCAUCAUGUCAGCUAGAAGGGAAAAUUUAUUGGUAGUUUGAAGUUCCACAACAAAAAUGUAUAUAUGCAUGCACAUUCUUCCACCAAGAGAAGAAAAAACUCAGCAUCCAUCUUUCGUACAUGAGUUGAAUGUCUUAUACUGAAACUGAUCACGGUGUCGCAAGUAAAGCCUAAGUUUCAUAAAUUUCAUAAAAGUGUCGCAAGUAAAGAGCUUUUAGUUGAAGUUCACUAAAUUUCUUAUACCGACAUUUCAGGGAUAAUACGAUUGACCCAACUGUUACCGGUGCCAUGCUUUUGGGGUCGACCAAAACAUUUAAAAACGUUAAAUGUGGUUAUGUGAUAAUAACAUAUAAUGUAUUAUUUGUGUUCAUUCCUUUAAUGUGGAUUAUAACAUGAUCUACCUUUGCAUCAACAUCGAAGACUACUUUUGGUUCAUAUUCAUGCAGCCACUUCUCGAUUUUGAGAUUUUUCACAUGUACUGAACUUGUCUUAGUCAGCCCAACUCAGCUGUAUGCGUGACAUUUAUAAAGUGACUCCGUAAAAUUCAUAAAAGACACUAUUCUUUUAUUCUGUUCUUCUGUUUCUUCCAGAUUUUGCUCUCCUCGCUUAUAAUUCGAUACUGUUAUUUCGAUUAGAUGACUCGGUCGAUGAUGUUGGGCAUGUCCAUGGUAUCCAUUAAAAAACUUAAAAAAAGUCUUGCACCGGAAUAAAAUUAGAUAGCACACCACUUAUGAGUCGAAACAUAUGCCAGCCAAGCCGGUACCAUAAAAUUAGUAGAUUAGGUCCAUUCCAGCCACUAAUUCUUUGUGCCAAUGCUAAGUAUGUGAAGUUGCACUGACUUUUAGUUACAUCUGAUGAUCUUUCCACAAAAAAUGUAGUAUAGAGUGUAAUAUUUACAGUGUGGGGAUGUUGGUGGCCAAGAAAGUUUAUGCCCUUGUGGAGACAUUGCUGUGAAGUCCUAAGUUAUCCUGUAAAAAGGAUUCUUAUGAUAAGCAUGUAAAGCAACUUCUGAACUUUUUUGUAGAUAUUUAAGUGCCAAUACCAUCUUUUGGUAUAACACAGAAAAAUCAAGUUUUGAGGCCAGAGAUUUACCUUGCUUUUGCAUGUGCAUUACUUUAGCUAAUCAACCUGCCGUCGAGCUUUUAGUUGAAGUUCACUAAAUUUCUUAUACCGACAUUUCAGGGAUAAUACGACUGACCCAACUGUUACCGGUGCCAUGCUUUUUGGGUCGACCAAAACAUUUAAAAACGUUAAAUGUGGUUAUGUGAUAAUAACAUAUAAUGUAUUAUUUGUGUUCAUUCCUUUAAUGUGGAUUAUAACAUGAUCUACCUUUGCAUCAACAUCGAGGACUACUUUUGGUUCAUAUUCAUGCAGCCACUUCUCGAUAUUGAGAUUUUUCACAUGUACUGAACUUGUCUUAGUCAGCCCAACUCAGCUGUAUGCGUGACAUUUAUAAAGUGACUCCGUAAAAUUCAUAAAAGACACUAUUCUUUCAUUCUGUUCUUCUAUUUCUUCCAGAUUUUGCUCUCCUCGCUUAUAUUUCGAUAUUGUUAAUUCGAUUAGAUGACUCGGUCGAUGAUGUUGGGCAUGUCCAUGGUAUCCAUUAAAAAACUUAAAAAAAUUCUUGCACCGGAAUAAAAUUAGAUAGCACACCACUUAUGAGUCGAAACAUAUGCAAGCCAAGCCAGUACCAUAAAAUUAAUAGAUUAGGUCCAUUCCAGCCGCUAUUCUUUGUGCCAAUCCUAAGUAUGUGAAGUUGCACUGACUUUUAGUUACAUUUGAUGAUCUUUCCACAAAAAAUGUAGUAUAGAGUGUAAUAUUUACAGUGUGGGGAUGUUGGUGGCCAAGAAAGUUUAUGCCCUUGUGGAGCAUUAAUGUGAAGUCCUAAGUUAUCCUGUAAAAAGGAUUCUUAUGAUAAGCAUGUAAAGCAACUUCUGAACUUUUUUGUAGAUAUUUAAGUGCCAAUACCAUCUUUUGGUAUAACACAGAAAAAUCAAGUUUUGAGGCCAGAGAUUUACCUUGCUUUUGCAUGUGCAUUACUUUAGCUAAUCAACCUGCCGUCGAGCUUUUAGUUGAAGUUCACUAAAUUUCUUAUACCGACAUUUCAGGGAUAAUACGACUGACCCAACUGGUACCGGUGCCAUGCUUUUGGGGUCGACCAAAACAUUUAAAAAUGUUAAAUGUGGUUAUGUGAUAAAAUCAAGUAUGAAUGAGGAAGAGAUCAACACCAGCCGCGGCAACAAAGAUGACAGCGUGUCUCAGUGGGCAUGAGCAAUGGCACACUCGUGUCGAGUACCUACCAAGAUGCUUCCCUGGUCAGACUUCGAGCACUUCCUCCUUGCCGACGCCGCCUUGGCUAUUGUUGUUGUCUCCUCGGAUAAGCCGUAUUAGGUUGGUUCCAUUGCACUGCAAAUACUACCACUUCUAUUGGGCAACUAAAUACAACUUGCAAGCACGGGAAAACAUGUACACCAGUGUUGUCGGGCGCGCGGAAGCCAAUUCCUUGGGUCACCCAUUGUUCAUCUGCUGCUCUAACCAGUAAUCAUGCCUUGCUCCCAGUAAAUUUGAGCUCGCAGCCAUUUAGGUAGCUUCUUGUCAUGCUCACAUCUAGCAGCAAGAAAAAUGAGAAGCUGCUGACCAGAGUGUAAUGUCUUAGUGGUAGGGAGACCACCAAGAUAUGAUGCUCUAAUGCAAAAUAUUAUAGGAAUAUCUACUUACUUUAACCACUUUUCAUAUUUGGUAUUUAAUCCAUCUACAUGUACAAACACGAAAUGCAGAUAUUGUUUUGUUGUGGAGAAAUUUUAUGAUGUGCCCAAUUAUGGACCGUACAUUGAUAAUGAUCUAAUGGUUAGGAUGAUGCAUCAUUUGAUAAUUCAAGAAAAGGUCAUGUCUUUACAGAAAUGUUCAAUUCCCCCUCAGUUUGAACUUGUAAGGUGUACUAAUUUUUUAAGAAUUCAAACUUACCUAAUUUUGACCAAGUUUAUAGAAUAAAACAUAAAUAUCUACUAUAGAGAAACAAUAUCAUUAGAUUCAUGAUGAAGUAUAUUUCCAUAUUUGAUUUAUUUAGGGGCUGUUCGAAAAGCCUCCACGCCCUCGCCACGGAGCGGAGGCCAAUCCGCUCCGGAGCGGAGCUGCGGAGUGGGAGUGAGUCCGAACAAGCCUUUAGUAUUGUACUCCCUCCGUUAGGAAUUACUCGUCCAAGAAAUGAAUGUGUCUAGAUGUAUUUUAGUUGUAGAUACAUCCAUUUUUAUGACAAGUAAUUCUGAACGGAGGGAGUAGGUGUUAGAUGUAUUUUGCUACAGAUUUGAUCAAACAUAGGAGACUUUGACUUUUGAAUAUUUAAUUCACCUUAUAUUUUGACAGACAUGGAGUAGUAAUUGCUGGGACCAGAUCCAUGCACCAUCAUCUGAAACCCAUGUAUUCAUGAGGUGUGAUGUUAAUUUUAACAAAUCUUCCCAUGGACAGAACCUCGAUACCAUGAUUCACAUACCAACCCACAUAGAAUUUGUGUAGACUGACAUAUACGCCGGGUUCAUCUUGUGGUAUGUCCCAGAACUUUUCUGAUAACAAUGCUCUUAGUUGGGAUGCCAUCAGGCUCCAAACCAAACCUGGGAGCACUUUACUUACCAAUAAAUUAAGAUAACUUUUGCAUAAGGUUUUGUCGUAGUUCGUUACCAAGAUGGGUAGUACUGUAUAGUUUCCUAGCAGCAACAUUUGGCCAGUUUCUUAGAUUUUAUCUGCAUGAAUAGUAGAUUUGCUCAUUUUGAUUUAUAACAUUGUAAAUGUUCACCUCAGCUGCCAGACUAACAUAAUGGAACAUCGUCAGGUGUAUUUGAAGGUUGCCAGUUCAGGUGGGCCAAACAGCCAGUGCGCUGAGGUCAAAAUAAGCAUGACACCGGUUUUAUUCUUUUAGGGGUCACCUACAUGGUGAAAGAUGCUCGGGCACACAUCAUUGUUGGGUUUUCCCAUGUCAUGUCAUACUUGGUCUGUAACUAAAUCUUGAGAAUUCAUUUGUAUGACUUGAUGUACAAACGUGUUAUUCAUAAUGAAAAUAAUAUCAUUGUAUGUGCUUAAAAUAUUAUGUCAUAAUUCUGUAAAAAAAAAGGUAUCUUUUACUAGAUAAAGAAGUG
rnacentral:lncRNA from 1 species